rnacentral:rRNA from 1 species
AAACCGGGGGUCGCAAGACCUCGCACGAUAGGAGCGGCCGAUAUCGGAUUAGGUAGUUGGCGGGGUAAAAGCCCACCAAGCCGACGAUCGGUAGCUGUUCUGAGAGGAUGAUCAGCCACACUGGAACUGAGACACGGUCCAGACUCCUACGGGAGGCAGCAGUGGGGAAUUUUGGCCAAUGGGCGCAACCCUGAUCCACCCUUGCCGCGUGAGUGAAGAAGGCCUUCGGGUUGUAAAGCUCUUUCGGCAGGAAGGAAAUGGCUCGUGCUAAUACCCACGGUCUCAUGACGGUACCUGAAGAAGAAGCACCGGCUAACUACGUGCCAGCAGCCGCGGUAAUACGUAGGGUGCAGGCGUUAAUCGGAAUUACUGGGCGUAAAGCGUGCGCAGGCGGUUUUAUAAGUCAGAUGUGAAAUCCCCGGGCUUAACCUGGGAACUGCAUUUGAAACUGGAUGACUAGAGUGUGGCAGAGGGGGAUGGAAUUCCACGUGUAGCAGUGAAAUGCGUAGAUAUGUGGAGGAACACCGAUGGCGAAGGCAACCCCCUGGGCUAACAC